GACCUGAUGGUGGAGUGGUUACCAUGCCUGCCGAAAUUGACAUUGUUCCAAAUGAGAUUUCAAUUUAGACAGGAGGCCCCUGUUCGAUUCGGGGUCAGGUCA